rnacentral:tRNA from 1 species
GUUGUUGUGGUCGAGUGGUUACAGCAACAGACUAGAAAUCUUUUGGGAUCUUUCACGCACAGGUUUGAAUCCUGCCAAUAAUG